rnacentral:rRNA from 1 species
AAAUUGAAGAGUUUGAUCAUGGCUCAGAUUGAACGCUGGCGGCAGGCCUAACACAUGCAAGUCGAACGGUAACAGGAAGCAGCUUGCUGCUUCGCUGACGAGUGGCGGACGGGUGAGUAAUGUCUGGGAAACUGCCUGAUGGAGGGGGAUAACUACUGGAAACGGUGGCUAAUACCGCAUAACGUCGCAAGACCAAAGAGGGGGACCUUCGGGCCUCUUGCCAUCAGAUGUGCCCAGAUGGGAUUAGCUUGUUGGUGAGGUAACGGCUCACCAAGGCGACGAUCCCUAGCUGGUCUGAGAGGAUGACCAGCCACACUGGAACUGAGACACGGUCCAGACUCCUACGGGAGGCAGCAGUGGGGAAUAUUGCACAAUGGGCGCAAGCCUGAUGCAGCCAUGCCGCGUGUAUGAAGAAGGCCUUCGGGUUGUAAAGUACUUUCAGCGGGGAGGAAGGUGUUGUGGUUAAUAACCGCAGCAAUUGACGUUACCCGCAGAAGAAGCACCGGCUAACUCCGUGCCAGCAGCCGCGGUAAUACGGAGGGUGCAAGCGUUAAUCGGAAUUACUGGGCGUAAAGCGCACGCAGGCGGUCUGUCAAGUCGGAUGUGAAAUCCCCGGGCUCAACCUGGGAACUGCAUUCGAAACUGGCAGGCUUGAGUCUUGUAGAGGGGGGUAGAAUUCCAGGUGUAGCGGUGAAAUGCGUAGAGAUCUGGAGGAAUACCGGUGGCGAAGGCGGCCCCCUGGACAAAGACUGACGCUCAGGUGCGAAAGCGUGGGGAGCAAACAGGAUUAGAUACCCCUGGUAGUCCACGCCGUAUACGAUGUCUUCUUGGAGGUUGUGCCGUUGAGGCGUGGCUUCCGGAGCUAACGCGUUAAGUAGACCGCCUGGGGAGUACGGCCGCAAGGUUAAAACUCAAAUGAAUUGACGGGGGCCGCACAAGCGGUGGAGCAUGUGGUUUAAUUCGAUGCAACGCGAAGAACCUUACCUGGUCUUGACAUCCACAGAACUUUCCAGAGAUGGAUUGGUGCCUUCGGGAACUGUGAGACAGGUGCUGCAUGGCUGUCGUCAGCUCGUGUUGUGAAAUGUUGGGUUAAGUCCCGCAACGAGCGCAACCCUUAUCCUUUGUUGCCAGCGAUUAGGUCGGGAACUCAAAGGAGACUGCCAGUGAUAAACUGGAGGAAGGUGGGGAUGACGUCAAGUCAUCAUGGCCCUUACGACCAAGGCUACACACGUGCUACAAUGGCGCAUACAAAGAGAAGCGACCUCGCGAGAGCAAGCGGACCUCAUAAAGUGCGUCGUAGUCCGGAUUGAGUCUGCAACUCGACUCCAUGAAGUCGGAAUCGCUAGUAAUCGUGGAUCAGAAUGCCACGGUGAAUACGUUCCCGGGCCUUGUACACACCGCCCGUCACACCAUGGGAGUGGGUUGCAAAAGAAGUAGGUAGCUUAACCUUCGGGAGGGCGCUUACCACUUUGUGAUUCAUGACUGGGGUGAAGUCGUAACAAGGUAACCGUAGGGGAACCUGCGGUUGGAUCACCUCCUUACCUUAAAGAA